UCCAGACUCCUACGGGAGGCAGCAGUCGGGAAUCUUUCACCAUGGGCGAAAUCCUGCCGCAGCGACGCCGCGUGCGGGACGACGGACUUCGGGUCUUCCCCCGCUUUCAGCCUUGACGAGGCCCUCCCGGUGACGUUCCCUUCAGAAGACUCCCCUGCUAACUCCUUUCCAGCAGCCUCUGUCCUACGUAGUUUUCGCGCGUUAUCCGGCUUCAUUGGGCGGAAAGCGCGCGUAGGCGGCCUGUUAGGUCGGGGUGCAAAUACCGGGGAGCAACCCCGGUCCGCCCCCGAUACCGGCAGGCUUGAGUCUGGUAGGGGAAGGCGGAAUUCCCAGUGUAGCGGUGGAAUGCGCAGAGAGGGGGAAGAACACCGGCGGCGAAGGCGGCCUUCUGGGCCACGACUGACGCUGAGGCGCGAAAGCUAGGGGAGCGAACAGGAUUAGAUACCCUUGUAU
rnacentral:rRNA from 1 species